AUACGUAUGGGGCGAGCGUUGUCCGGAAUGAUUGGGCGUAAAGGGUACGUAGGCGGUUAAUUAAGUCGAGUGUGAAAGGUUGGGGCUCAACCCCAUAAAGCAUUCGAAACUGGUUAACUUGAGAUGUGGAGAGGAAAGUGGAAUUCCUAGUGUAGCGGUGACAUGCGUAGAUAUUAGGAGGAAUACCAGUAGCGAAGGCGACUUUCGGGACACAUACUGACGCUGAGGUACGAAAGCGGGGGGAGCAAACAGGAUUAGAUACCCUGGUAGUCCACGCCGUAAACGAUGAAUGCUAGGUGUCGGGGGUCAAACCUCGGUGCCGCCGCUAACGCAUUAAGCAUUCCGCCUGGGGAGUACGCACGCAAGUGUGAAACUCAAAGGAAUUGACGGGG
rnacentral:rRNA from 1 species